rnacentral:tRNA from 1 species
GGGUGCGUAGCUCAGCUUGGAAGCCUUUCUUUUUCACAAAAAGAAACCCUUGGGAAAUAAAAAAAUUCCCGUUGGUGACAGAAAAGGAGGGUCUGGGUACAUAGAGCACUGGCCUUCUAAGCCAGGGGUCGAGGGUUCAAAAACAAAACAAAGAAUUGCAAUUCCGAAGGAAUUGCCGUUCAGGAAAAUCCCUCCGCACCCGCCA